GGAACCAGGGGGCCUCGCAGGAUGAAUUGUGUCAUGCACUCAAUCCCUGUCUCGUCCCUUGAACCCGGGGGCACUGUCCCAGGCCAACCUGAACUUCUCCCUCCCAAUCUUGAAGACUCAUUUAGGAGCAUGUCUUUUUCAAAAUCAAUUGAUGCUUCAACAGAAUUCAAUAGUGCUCGGUUUUCAGAUAUUGGGGGUCCAAGUGAAGUAGAUGAAGAAGGUAAGAGUAGUCUUUUGGUCC
rnacentral:misc_RNA from 1 species